rnacentral:rRNA from 1 species
GCCGCGGUAAACGUAGAGCAGCGUUAUCCGGAUUUACUGGGCGUAAAGCGUCUGUAGGCGGUUCGAUAAGUUGGGCGUGAAAGCUCCGGGCUUAACCCGGAGAGGUCGUUCAAUACUGUCGAACUAGAGGACAUCAGAGGAGCAUGGAAUUUCCGGUGUAGCGGUAAAAUGCGCAGAUAUCGGAAGGAACACCAGUGGCGAAGGCGGUGCUCUGGGGUGGGCCUGACGCUGAGAGACGAAAGCUAGGGGAGCGAACAGGAUUAGAGACCCUGGUAGUCCUAGCCCUAAACGAUGGAUGCUAGGUGUGGGGCCGAGAAGGCUCUGUGCCGCAGUUAACGCGCUAAGCAUCCCGCCUGGGGAUUACGGCCGCAAGGCUAAAACUCAAACGAAUUGACGGGGCCCCGCACAAGCAGCGGAGCGUGUGGUUUAAUUCGAUGCUACACGAAGAACCUUACCUGGGUUUGACAUGUACGUGGUAGAGAAGCGAAAGCGGAUCGACCCUUCGGGGAGCGUACACAGGUGCUGCAUGGCUGUCGUCAGCUCGUGCCGUGAGGUGUCGGGUUAAGUCCCGUAACGAGCGCAACCCUUGCCCUUAGUUACAAGUGUCUAAGGGGACUGCCGGCGGUAAGCCGGAGGAAGGUGGGGAUGACGUCAAGUCAGCAUGGCCCUUAUAUCCAGGGCUACACACACGCUACAAUGGUCAGUACAAAGGGCAGCGAAGCCGCGAGGUGAAGCGAAUCCCAACAAAGCUGAUCUAAGUUCGGAUUGCAGGCUGCAACUCGCCUGCAUGAAGCUGGAGUUGCUAGUAACCGCGCGUCAGCUAUAGUGCGGUGA